CAGGUACAUUACGUCACAUCGUAUAUAUUAGCAACAGCGCGGUAGAGCAGUUGCUGAGUUGACCCACUUUCUGCUGAUACACCUUUUGUUGAGAUUUCUAAGCCACAUACAAAACAUGGAGCACUAAUAUCUCUCAAGCAAAAUGCGCACCUGAAAUUAUCAUCGGCUUCAAUUUUUUCUAUAGCAGAACUAGAAACCUGGGAGGAACUCUUUAGGUCCUUCCAUACCGACUUUUUGAUGGACUAACUGAUGGGACAGUAAGCACAGAAAAGGGAAAUUCAGCUUGUAAAUGUUCCU